UACGUAGGUGGCAAGCGUUGUCCGGAUUUACUGGGCGUAAAGGGCGUGCAGGCGGUUUGUUAAGUGCAGGGUGAAAGCUCCCGGCUCAACUGGGAGAGGUCCUUGCAUACUGGCAAACUCGAGGGAGGCAGAGGAAAGUGGAAUUCCCGGUGUAGUGGUGAUAUGCGUAGAUAUCAGGAGGAACGACCGGUGGCGAAGGCGGGUCUCUGGGCCGAGUACUGACGCUGGAGGAGCGAAAGCGUGGGGAGCAAACAGG
rnacentral:rRNA from 1 species